AAUUAGGAAAAAAAAAAACCUAUAGCUUGGGCAAAAUAAAUCUUCAUACUAUAAAUUUCAUAAAAAACCUAACACAAGUCGUAAUAUUUUUUGUCAAAUGAGCAAAGACACCAACAACAAAUGCAAACAACUUACCAUUUGCAAAAGUUUGAAUGUAAAAGUGUUGAUUUGCUCACCUUCACUUCAAAACUACCCUGCCUAUCUGAUUAUCUAAGCUCUUGAACUCAGGAAUUUGUAAAGAAAUGAUGUCUUUUACUUGUUAGUUUAGAAAAUUGAGAGAAAUUGCUUAGAGUGUAGGAAGCUGAAUGAAUAAGCUAACACUGCCUCUGUCCAAA
rnacentral:misc_RNA from 1 species